rnacentral:tRNA from 1 species
GGAGGGUUAGUUCAGUGGUAAAGCACAUGCUUAGCCUGCAUGAGGGCCUGGAUUCCAUCCCCAGUGCCUCCG